CCCUUAGAUAUCCUAGGCUGCACGCGAGCUACAAUGGUAUAUAUAAAAGGUUGCUGCUCUGAGAAGACUGGCAAUACCCUGAUAUAUAUCGUAUUUGGAAUAGAUUUUUGUAAUUAUCAAUCUUGAACGAGGAAUUCCUAGUAAAAAUAUUUCAUCAUAAUGUUUUGAUUGUGUCCCUGCCCUUUGUACACACCGCCCGUCGCUCCUACCGAUUGAAUAUUCCGGUGAGAAGAUAGGAGAAAAAUCUUUUGAUUUUUUGAAUAUUUUUGAACCUUGAUAUUUAGAGGAAGGAGAANUCGUAACA
rnacentral:rRNA from 1 species